GGCAAACUGAACACUUUUGUAAUAAAAAGUUAAACAUUUUCAUUUUUUGUUUUAAAAUAAUUUCAAAUGUACAGGAAAAUUACUCAAAUCAUACUAAGAAUUCACUCAACUCACCACUAUUAACAUGUUGCCAAGUUUACAGUAAUAUUCUGUCUCUUAUCCAUUCACACACACACACACACACACACACACACACACACACACACACACACACACACACAGAGACAGAGGCAGGCUUACCUUCCUCUCAGAAAAUUGCACAGAUUCAACAA